rnacentral:lncRNA from 1 species
UUCUUAAAAUUAGAUCUCUGUAUUGCAUCUAUAUGGAAGAUCAUCCAUCCCAAACUUAGAAAUCAAAGUAUCUAUUCAAUUGAUACGGUACUCUACCAUAUCUACUUAAAGAUGCCUUUAUGUCGGGCUCCGAAUUUGAUCUGUUGGGUAUAAAAUAUCCCCCCAACCGAAGUUCGUACCAGGAGUGACCCUCCCGGGACUCUGCCGACGUCCAACCUUGGGCGACAUAUUUUCGAACCUCUCCGACGGUCGAGCUUCCGCAACAUUCUCAAGUUCUGCUGACGGACAAACUCCCACAGCUUCUUCCACA